UACGUAGGGGGCUAGCGUUGUCCGGAUUUAUUGGGCGUAAAGAGCGUGUAGGCGGCCAGAUAGGUCUGCUGUGAAAACUCGAGGCUCAACCUCGAGCUGUCGGCGGAAACCAUUUGGCUAGAGUCCGGAAGAGGAAAGUGGAAUUCCGUGGUGUAGCGGCGAAAAUGCGCAGAUAUCAGGAAGAACACCUAUGGCGAAGGCAGCUCUCUGGGACGGUACUGACGCUGAGACGCGAAAGCGUGGGGAGCGAACAGG
rnacentral:rRNA from 1 species